rnacentral:rRNA from 1 species
UACGAAGGGGGCGAGCGUUGUUCGGAUUUACUGGGCGUAAAGGGCGCGCAGGCGGCCGGCCAAGUCAGGCGUGAAAGCCCCGGGCUUAACCUGGGAAUUGCGUCUGGGACUGGUUGGCUAGAGAUCGGGAGAGGAGAGUGGAAUUCCCGGUGUAGCAGUGAAACGCGUAGAGAUCGGGAGGAACAUCUGUGGCGAAGGCGACUACCUGGACCAGCACUGACACUGAGGCACGAAAGCGUGGGGAGCAAACAGG